UGAAUGAAGUCAGUGGGCUUGUCAUCCUUCCUGUGGAUGAUCUGGAUGAGGCAUGUCUCCAAGCCUUCCAUCUACAGAGGCCAAUGUUGUUUCUGAUUGCUGAGGAGGAGAAUGAAGAUCUCCACAAAUUCUUAAGAUCACUCAGUAAUUCUGCAGAAGAAAUGGAAGCAGACUUUCCGCUCAUUGCUUUCAU